UGAAACCCGAUGUGAAUGUUUGGGCUCCUCUCACUCGUCAUCAUUGAGGUACGUCUCCGUAUAUGUUAAUUAAUUAGGGUUUUGUAAGGUUUGUGUUAAUAUCUUUUUGUUUAGGGUUCUUUUCCCGUUUUCGUUUAGAAACUGUAGUCAUCUUGCGAUUAGUUUAGAAACCAUCUUAUGCAUACACUCUUUUAAUUCUCUUGUCUCUAAAAUGAUCCGUGUAUCUUCACUACAUGCAUAUACUUUUGUUUUUAAAAUCAUAGAUUUCAGGAAUCCCAAAUGGUUGGUUUGGCUUAAAUAGGAGUGUACAAUCUGUCAAAUUCAUUCUCUCUUGUAUAAAUCUCUUGUUUAGUGUCUGAACAUGGUUUUUGUUUGAACAGAUGAAAUAUUAUCGCUUGGAGGAGGAAACCCACCGGCCUUUUAGUUGCUGCUUUACAUACCUGGAAGCUUACUCCGCAUGAAACCAUCCUUACCAAGGUAAUUUCUCUGUCUAUGAACUAAAAAUGCAACUUUUCUUUUAACAAAAAAAUUAUGUCUUUUGAGGAUGGAAUUCAAACGAGAACAAAGUCAAACCCCAUUAGAUCAGUUCUAAUUAAUCGAUGUUAUAGCAUUCUCAAAUCCAAAUAAGAUCAUUGGCAAGCACUAAUCUUAAUAGUGUUCUGUCAGAUUUUUAUUUGGGUAACAUUGGUCCCGUAAGAAAUCUUUUGGUGGGUAGUGCAUGCAUGUCUAAGGAGGUAUGUUAUGGGGAUGGAAAAUAAGACCCGGAAUCUAUUGGUUGGUAGUGCAUGCUUAAUAGUCUUAAGACAAAGACUAUAUGUGGUGGGGAUGAGAAAAAUAUUGACCCACGGCUUAGAAAAAGUCAUUAGAUGAUGUAACAACGACUAAUGGCUUUUACAUAAGACUCGUUGGAUGUGAAAUAAACGACCAACAUGUCUUAAGACAAAGACUCUGAACCACAAGGCUUAAAGAACUAUGUCUUUGCCUCUAAACCACAAAGGCUUAAAAGUACAAAAAGACUAUGAGUUGGAUGGGUUGGUAGUGCAUGAAUUAAAAGUCUUACACAAAGACUCUAUGGGGAUGAGAAAAAAAAGAGACCCACGGCUUAGUAAAAGACACUAGAUAAACCACAAGGCGUAAAGAACUAUGUCUUUGCCUCUAAACCCACAGUGCUUUAAAGUACAAACACUGAGUUGGAUGGGUUGGUAGUGCAUGACUUAAGUCUUAAGACAAAGACUCUAUGGGGAUGAGGAAAAAAGAGACCCACGGCUUAGAAAAAGUCAUUAGAUGAUGAAACAAUGACUAAUAGCUUAAAUAAGACUCGUUGGAUGGGAAAAAAAUGACCAACAUGUCUUAAGACAAAGACUCUGAACCAUAGGGCUUAAAGAACUAUGUAUUUUCCUCUAAACCCACAUGGCUCGAAAGUAUAAAGUCUAUGAGUUGGAUGCGUUUGUAGUGCAUGACUUAAAAGUCUUAAGACAAAGACUCUAUGAGGAUGAGAAUAAAAAAGACCCACGGCUUAGAAAAAGUCAUUAGAUGAUGAAACAAUGACUAAUGGCUUAAAUAAGACUCGUUGGAUUGGAUAAAACGACCAACAUGUCUUAAAACAAAGAGUCUGAACCACAAGGCUUAAAGAACUAUGUCUUUGCCUCUAAACCCACAAGGCUCGAAAGUAUAAAGACUAUGAGUUGGAUGGGUUGGUAGUGCAUGACUUAAAAGUCUUACACAAAGACUCUAUGGGGAUAAGAAAAAAAAAAGAAACCCACGGCUUAGUAAAAGACAUUAGAUAAACCACAAGUCUUAAAGAACUAUGUCUUUGCCUCUAAACCCACAAGGCUCGAAAGUAUAAAGACUAUGAGUUGGACGGGUUUGUAGUGCAUGACUUAAAAGUCUUACACAAAGACUCUAUGGGGAUAAGAAAAAAAAAGAGACCCACGGCUUAGGAAAAGACAUUAGAUAGACCACAAGGCUUAAAGAACUAUGUCUUUGCCUCUAAACCCACAAGGCUCGAAAGUAUAAAGACUAUGAGUUGGACGGGUUUGUAGUGCAUGACUUAAAAGUCUUACACAAAGACUCUAUGGGGAUAAGAAAAAAAAAGAGACCCACGGCUUAGGAAAAGACAUUAGAUAGACCACAAGGCUUAAAGAACUAUGUCUUUGCCUCUAAACCCACAAGGCUCGAAAGUAUAAAGACUAUGAGUUGGACGGGUUUGUAGUGCAUGACUUAAAAGUCUUAAGAGAGACAAAGACUAUAUGGGUAUGAGGAAAAAAGGGACCCACGGCUUAUAAAAAGACAUUAGAUGAACCACAAGGCUUAAAGAACUAUGUCUUUGCCUCUAAACCACAAGGCUUGAAAGUAUAUAAACUGAGUUGGAUGGGUUUGUAGUAGUGCAUGACUUAAAAGUCUUAAAACAAAAACUCUAUGGGGAUGAGAAAAAAACGACCCACGACUUAGAAAAAGUCAUUAGAUGAUGAAACAAUGACUAAUAGCUUAAAUAAGACUCGUUGGAUGGGAACGAAACUACCAACAUGUCUUAAGACAAAGACUCUGAACCACAAGGCUUAAAGAACUAUGUCUUUGCCUCUAAACCCACAAGGCUCGAAAGUAUAAAGACUAUGAGUUGGAGGGGUUGGUAGUGCAUGACUUAAAAGUCUUACACAAAGACUCUAUGGGGAUAAGAAAAAAAAAGAGACCCACGGCUUAGGAAAAGACAUUAGAUAGACCACAAGGCUUAAAGAACUAUGUCUUUGCCUCUAAACCCACAAUGCUUGAAAGUACAAAGACUGAGUUUGAUGGGUUGGUAGUGCAUGACUUAAGUCUUAAGACAAAGACUCUAUGGGGAUGAGAAAAAAAGAGACCCACACUACAAGAAAAAUGGGUUUUAUUAGCGGACGAAAAACGCUAUAUAACGAUAGUAUAGCGGUUUUUGAAGCGCUGUAUCAUCGCCCGUCAUAGUAGGUAAAGGACUUUACAUAGCGGAAUUUAGCGGUGCUAUCUUUUCGUCCAUUAAGAUAGCGCUUUUUAUUCUGCAAUUAAAUAUAUGUUAAUAGCGAGUCAUUAAUGCUAUUACUUCUUUUGCAAGAACUCCAUACAAAAUGCGAGGCAUUCACCAGCAAGAUAUCCCUCAGCCAUACAAGCUUCAGGUCUUGCGAAAUUCUUCACAUAUGCCUUAAGUGUCUUCAUAUACCUACAAAACAAUAUAAAAAAAUAUUAUUGACAUAAUUACUAUUUUUUACUUGUAAGCCGUAAGUGAAAACAAUAAGAGUAUUACCUCUCGAAUGGGUACAUCCACCUGAAGUGGACAGGGCCACCUAAGCGUGCUUCUCUUGCCAGAUGCAGUGGAAGGUGAAACAUGAUAUCAAAUAAUGCAGGUGGGAAGAAUCUCUCUAGCUGGCACAUUGUCUCCACGAUCUCUGUUUCUAGUGCAAGUAGCAUCUCUGGAUCAAGAAUGCGUUGGCAGAGUCUGUUGAAGAAAUUGCAUAUGCGAGUCACUGCUAUCCGAGGUCCUUUUGGAAGUAAACCUCUCAACGCUACUGGUAAGAGAUUCUGCAUAAGAACAUGAUGAUCAUGUGACUUCAUGCCGCCAAUAGAAGGAGGAUCCAGUGAGACACAGUUAGCUAUAUUGGCACAGUAUCCAUCAGGGCCUCUGAAGUUGGAUAACCUUCGGCAGAACUUUCUUUUCUCUUCCUUUGAAAGCCAAUACGCAGCUGGAGGCAAGUAAGUUUUCUUCCCCCUAGCUUGUGUAUGUAAGUUGCUUCUAAUACCCAUCUCUUCUAAAUCCUUUCUUGCUUUCAGUCCAUCCUUAGAUUUCGCACUAUGCAUCAGUAUAGACAACAACGCAUCAGACACGUUCUUCUCGACGUGCAUGACGUCGAUGUUAUGCCUCACAGGCAUAUCCUGCAAUUUUUCAGAAUAUAACAUUAGCAUCUGCAGAAAUCUAAUACAGUAGUUGUAACUUGUAAAAUAAAACAUACCUUCCAAUAAGGUAAGUCAAAGAAAAUAGAUUUUUUCUUCCACCGCCACAGAUCAUCAUCUUCCUCACGGUCGUCAGCUGAAAGAACAUCAUCUUCACCUCCUUCUAUCCUUUUCCGCUUACUCUUCUUAGGUAAAGGUUUCCCAAAAUCGUUUUUAAAGUCCUUAAGACUGUCAAAUAUAUCGCAGCCACUCUGAAUCCUCUUUGCAGUACCAACCUCCACUGUAUUGUCAAACCAUCCUUUCCUUCUUCUAUAAGGAUGACUAGGCCUGAGCCGCUUCCUGUUCUCCAUGUAAACAUGUUUGCGACUAAACUUUAGCCACCUAUGAGGUGUACCCUUCCCGCAGACAUUACACGCUUGCUUCCCUUUCACUUUACACCCAGCUAAUGUGCCUAAACCAGGAUAGUCGGUGAUACUCCACAUCAACAUAGCUCUAAGUGUAAAACUCUCCUUCUUAAACGAAUCAUAAACUUCCAUACCUUCUGUCCACAAAUCAUGCAAGUCCUCUAUCAAUGGCUGUAGAUAUACAUCAAUGUUGUUGCUAGGUGCGGUUGGACCAGGUAUCAACAUUGUCAACAUGAUGUUCUCGGACCUCAUACACUUUGUCGGAGCCAUAUUGUAGUUGACUAAUAGAACAGGCCAUGUGCUAUGCUUCGUGUUCUGGAUAGAGAACGGAUUCAUGCCAUCUGUUGAAAUUCCUAGUCUUAGGUUUCUUGCUUCAGCAGCGAACUCUGGCCAUUUGUUGUUUAUCUGAGCCCAAGUCAAUGAAUCUACUGGAUGACGCAUAGUUCCAUCUUCAGAAGCAUUAGUGGAGUGCCAACACAAGUCCUCUGCCAACCGCUUUGAUCUAAACAUUCUCCUGAACCUGUCUUUAAUCGGAAAAUACCUAAGCACCUUAACAGGAAUCCCUUUCUUCUCCUCACCAGUCUGCUUAUCCUUCUCCCAUCUUGAUUCACUACAUCUUGGACAGCUGACUGCAUCCUCAAACUCUUUUCUAUACAAAAUGCAGUCAUUCUUGCAUACGUGGAUGACAUCAUACCCAAAACCAAACUGUUUCAGAAAUUUCUUCAUCUCAUCUGUAGACUUAGGUAGAACGUUUUCACCGGGAAGCAGAUCAUGAACUAGGGACAGAAGCUGAUCGAAAAAUAGUUCUCAGACAUCCCACUCUUCACCUUUAUCCUGUAAAGUCCCAUGAUUGCAGCAACCUUUGUAAAUUUCAGACAGUUUGGGUACAACGGAGUUUCUGCAUCCUCUAACUUCUUUCUAAACUCAACUUCUUCAGGCGUAUCAGUGCCCUCAAACACUCCAGCAUUCUCCUCUGCGUAUCCUUCGCUGCCUUGACUUCGCAUGAAGGUUGUUCUGAACAAGUCGUAAGCCUCAUUUUCAGACCAGAUCACAUUAGCUGACUCAUCAGGUCUUGUCUCCCCGUGUUUAGACCAAAACUUACAGCUCUUGUACUUCUCAUCCAUUCCUCUAAUCACCAGGUGCUCGAAAACUUUCUCACUAGAUUGGUGGCAGACAUUGCGACAAUCAACACAAGGGCAGAACAUUUCAUCUGGAUCACCUAAACGUUUUGAUGAAGAAGACACGAACUCACUAGCUCCUUUCUCAUACUCAAGGCUAUUCCUGUAUGGUUAAAACAAGUGAGAACUAAACACUGAGACUUAAAAAAAUUUAAAAGAACAAGUGAAGUUAAUACCUUGGUAACCAGACCCAAGAUUUAUCCAUGAUACAGCUCCGACGAAAUGAACAUACAAGAGUCUCACUUUAUCAAGCCAGAACAACAAAACAAUAAGGGAUUUAAAAGCAAAACAGAAUGAGAUUUCUCACCUUAAAAAAAUCUCUUCGGAUUUAAAUUAGAGUCUCCUACAAAAGAAGACAAUGUUGUUAAGUAAGAUACAAGAUUUUACAGAAAUGAACAAGUAAAAGAGAAACCCAGAAAUUGAAAAGAACAAAUACCUUAAGCCAAAGCUGUCGGAAAAUAAAGGUUCCUGCAAACGAGCAUGCAAAACCGAUUCAAUUAAACAUGCAAUAACCCUAAAUCAGUUAUAGAGAAGAGAUAAAUCGAUUUUCAAUCGAUUAGGAUAGAAAAGAGAUGAAACCCGAGUUCACCUUCGAUGGAAUCGGAAAGGAUUUCAAUCAAAGGGGAUUUAAAUAAGAGUUAAUCCACGUUGAGUAAUCGUUGGAGCUGAGGAAUUGAGAAUGAAAAUUCGAGUGAAAGAGAUUGAGGUCGAGUGUUUGAUGGAGAGUGAAGAACAAAGAGAGAGAGGGAAGAACAAAACCCUACUAGUUUGGGAUUAAUUUUGGAUUCUAAUUGGGUUUUAGGAGCCAAAUUAUUUCUAAGUGUCGCGGUCAUUACCGCGUAAUCAAGCAUAACCCUUUUUUUUUUUAAUCUGCUAUAUUAAUUAAGCGUCUUCUUUCAAACCAUAUACGCUUAAAUGAUUUUUCAACUCGAAACUGUAACAUAACGUUUGGAAAUAUACAACCGCUAUCUUUAAAACACGAGUAUACCUACCAUAGCACAAUCGAAAAAAACGCUAUUCUGGUAUGCUAUUAAAACCCAUUUUUCUUGUAGUGCCACGGCUUAGGAAAAGACAUUAGAUGAACCACAAGGCUUAAAGAACUAUGUCUUUCCCUCUAAACCCACAAGGCUUGAAAGUAUAAAGACUGAGUUGGAUAGGUCUGUAGUGCAUGACUUAAAAUUUUUAAGACAAAGACUCUAUGGGGAUGAGGAAAAAAAAGACCCACGGCUUAGUAAAAGUCAUUAGAUGAUAAAACAAUGACUAAUAGCUUAAAUAAGACUUGUUGGAUGGGAAAGAAACUACCAACAUGUCUUAAGACAAAGACUCUGAACCACAAGGCUUAAAGAACUAUGUCUUUGCCUCUAAACCCACAAGGCUCGAAAGUAUAAAGACUGAGUUGGAUGGGUUUGUAGUGCAUGACUUAAAAGUCUUAAGACAAAGACUCUAUGAAGAUGAGGAAAAAAACACCCACGGCUUAGAAAAAGUCAUUAGAUGAUGUAACAACGACUAAUGGCUUACAUAAGACUCGUUGGAUUGGAAAAAACGACCAACAUGUCUUAAGACAAAGAGUCUGAACCACAAGGCUUUAAGAACUAUGUCGUUGCCUCUCAAACACAAAGGUUUAAAAGUACAAAAUUUACAAAAAGACUAUGAGUUAGAUGGGUUGGUUUAUGAUUUGUUGGAUGGAAAGAAAAAUGACCAACAGCAGAAAUAAGCUUAAGACAAAGUCUGAAAUAAAAGUCUUUUACACAAAGACAAUGGUUUGGUUUACGUUUUGUUGGAUGGGAAAAAGAAACGACCAACAACUUAAGACAGAUUAUGAAAAGUUCUUAAGACAAAGACCAUGUCUGAAAUCAGUCUUAAGACAUAGGCUAAUAAUAUAUGAAAACAACUCACGGAUUUGGAAAGCCACACAGCGACAAAGACUACCAAUGGCUUAAAGUUGUCUUAAGACAAAGAUACUUAACAAGGAUCAAGAGAUUCUUAAAUAAGGCUUGUUGGAUGGGGAAAAAAGCAGCCAGCGGCUUAACGAUGUCUUAAGACAGGCUUCGAAAAGUCCUUAGAUGGAUAAUAAUUACUAAUGACUUAAAUUAGACUUUUGUUGGAUCGGACAAAAAAUGACCAACAGCCUAAAAGAAGCCGUGAUACGAAAAGGUUCUGAACUGAGAAUUAUCUCCGCGAUAACCACAAAGAUGUCUUAAGAUAAAUACUCUGAACUUUGAACUGAGAACCAUGAUUCUGAUUUUUUGUUUUUCAGGUAUCUGCUUCAGAAGGUGUUCAAAACCAAAUUGUUCAAGAUUUUGAGGAGAUUUCAAGUGUAGCAGACUUUUGUGGCAGGUAUGUGCUUUUCCAACUGGCUUGUAAUUAGUUUCUGAAAUUCAAACAUGUGUGAAAUCAAAAUUAAUUUCAUUUCCACUAGACACGUGCUUGAAUAAGCAUCCAAAUCUUAACAUAUUUAUGUGUUAGCCUUUAUACUUAUGUGAGAGCGUGAAGUAUAUAUGCCAAUAUUGAUUUUCUCAGGUAUGUGCUUCUCUUAUGGAUGCCCAAAGAAGAUUUUUCUAAUGUUUACAAUUCUUUGGUGAAGUAUGGAUUUAUCACCCUCUUUAUAUUGUAUAACUUUGGAUUUGAAUCAAUGUUUCAGAUAACCACAUCUCUGUUUCAUGAAGAAAACACUUGUCACUUGAAAUUCUGCAGGUUGGUGGUUUCCUUUCAUGUCUCUGUUAGUCUGUUUUGAUUCUCCAAGUUCCAAGUCUGAUUUUGGUGUUGGCUUACUCAUUUAUUUUUAUCUUGUAGGUCUAUUUUCUUCUGCAUCAACCGAUUUCAAAUCCUAAUGUGGUGUGUAUCUCAAACCUCCAUACAUGGGUUCUGCACAAUCACUUAAAAAUUACAAAACAUACAUACAUAGGUACAAACAUGCAUUCAUAUAUACGUACUUUCAUACUGUAUACAUGCAUAAUUGCUUACAUACAUCAUUGUUUAUUUGCUUUCUUGAUUUUUUGUUUGAUUCUUC
rnacentral:lncRNA from 1 species